rnacentral:rRNA from 1 species
UGGGGAAUUUUGCACAAUGGGGGAAACCCUGAUGCAGCGACGCCGCGUGAUUUAGAAGGCCUUCGGGUUGUAAAAAUCUUUUGUAUAGGAAGAGUUUGACAGUACUAUACGAAUAAGGUCCGGCUAAAUACGUGCCAGCAGCCGCGGUAAUACGUAUGGACCAAGCGUUGUCCGGAAUCAUUGGGCGUAAAGGGUACGUAGGCGGUUAAAUAAGUUAGAAGUGAAAUCCCAUAGCUCAACUAUAGUAAGCUUCUAAAACUGUAUAACUUGAGAAAUGAAAGGGAAAGUGGAAUUCCUAGUGUAGCGGUGAAAUGCGCAGAUAUUAGGAGGAAUACCGGUGGCGAAGGCGACUUUCUGGUCAUAUUCUGACGCUGAGGUACGAAAGCGUGGGUAGCAAACAGG